rnacentral:tRNA from 1 species
ACCUAGUUGGCUCAGUCAGUACAGCAUGUGACUCUUGAUCUCAGGAUCGUGAGUUCAAGCCCUAUGUUGGGUG